rnacentral:lncRNA from 1 species
ACAGACUUGAACGGGUCGGUGCCGCUGAAUCCGGUCGAACUAUUAGCUUUCUUAAAACUAUUUCAGUAGGAGCCUCAUUAAACUACAAUAGAAUGACUUUAGCAGAUUAUAUACUUAACUAAUAUUUGUGUUGAAUUUUUUGUGAAUCAUGGUGUAAUAGGCCAAUUUGCCCGACCCAUUUUGUUAAACCAAAAAAAAAAAAAAAAGAAGAAGAAAGAAAAACAAAAUAUUAAAAUUUAGCCCAAAUGUCCAUUUACAAAAAAACCAAUAUUAAAGAGCCUAGCCCAAUAUCCC